GACGAACGCUGGCGGCGUGCUUAACACAUGCAAGUCGAACGGUGACCUCGAGAGCUUGCUCUUGGGUGAACAGUGGCGAACGGGUGAGUAACACGUGAGUAACCUGCCCCUGACUCUGGAAUAAGCGCUGGAAACGGCGUCUAAUACCGGAUAUGACACACCCUCGCAUGGGGAGUGUGUGGAAAGUUUUUCGGUCUGGGAUGGACUCGCGGCCUAUCAGCUUGUUGGUGAGGUAAUGGCUCACCAAGGCGAUGACGGGUAGCCGGCCUGAGAGGGCGACCGGCCACACUGGGACUGAGACACGGCCCAGACUCCUACGGGAGGCAGCAGUGGGGAAUAUUGCACAAUGGGCGCAAGCCUGAUGCAGCGACGCCGCGUGAGGGAUGACGGCCUUCGGGUUGUAAACCUCUUUCAGCAGGGAGGAAGCGCAAGUGACGGUACCUGCAGAGGAAGCACCGGCUAACUACGUGCCAGCCGCCGCCGUAAGAC
rnacentral:rRNA from 1 species